rnacentral:rRNA from 1 species
GAUGAACGCUGGCGGCGUGCCUAAUACAUGCAAGUCGAGCGAACAGAUGAGGAGCUUGCUCCUCUGACGUUAGCGGCGGACGGGUGAGUAACACGUGGAUAACCUACCUAUAAGACUGGGAUAACUUCGGGAAACCGGAGCUAAUACCGGAUAAUAUAUUGAACCGCAUGGUUCAAUAGUGAAAGACGGUUUUGCUGUCACUUAUAGAUGGAUCCGCGCCGCAUUAGCUAGUUGGUAAGGUAACGGCUUACCAAGGCAACGAUGCGUAGCCGACCUGAGAGGGUGAUCGCCACACUGGAACUGAGACACGGUCCAGACUCCUACGGGAGGCAGCAGUAGGGAAUCUUCCGCAAUGGGCGAAAGCCUGACGGAGCAACGCCGCGUGAGUGAUGAAGGUCUUCGGAUCGUAAAACUCUGUUAUUAGGGAAGAACAAAUGUGUAAGUAACUAUGCACGUCUUGACGGUACCUAAUCAGAAAGCCACGGCUAACUACGUG